GUGGAUUUUGGUUCUACAUCACUCUCCUCUAGAAUAUUUUAAAUUAAGAAAAAAGAAAUUAGCAAGAAUAUAACUAUAAAAUUGGGGAGUCCAAUUUGUCAUACAUAAGUAGUCAUUCUAUUGGUUAUAAGCACAGUGGUGCUAAAACACAGGACACAUUUUGUAGGGCCAGAUCAAAUGGAAAUGUUCAGAUAAUUUCCCAUAAGUUGACUGUUUAGUAUCAAUCUACUCUUCCUUCUCUUAGAUCUUGUACUCAUUUACUUUCAAAAAAUCCACCAGACAGCAUCCAGACAUCUGGGGGUGAAGGAGUUCUAUGCAGAAAGGCAGCAACGACUGAGUUGAGAGAAUCUACCUUCAAGGUCUUCUCUGCACAUCAAUCAAAGGUAGAGCGCUGCUUUAAAUCUGAGACUGCUGGUUACCACAUGAACCACAAAUCAUACUAAAAGUGAUAGUUAUUUUGUUUGUUUGUUUGUUUGUUUUGGUACCGGGGAUUGAAAAAUCAUACUAAAAGUAUUUAAGCAAUUUUAUAGGAGGCACUGUAAACAUUCUGUUUACAGAUGGGGCCCAUGGCGCCAAAUGAAGCUCUUGGGAGUCUCCUGUCAUGGAUUACAGAUGUGCACCACCAUGCCCCGCUUCUUCCACACUUAUGAAGAAAGGAUGAUCACCAAGAAAGGAAAGCUGAAUAUGUGCUUUGGCUGAAGCUAAGAAGGAGAAUAAACAUUAAUGAACAGAAAGGACACAAACACCAUUCCUUAUAAAUCAGAAUAAAAGUCUAAGGAUGUGUUGUCUCCCCAAACCAGUCUGUGGUGACCUUUCUGUGGAAAGAGCGCUCAUUCUUCC
rnacentral:lncRNA from 1 species